GGUCGGGCCGGUGCAGUGCGUCGGUCGGACAGCGGGUCAGGAUCGGAAGGUAGCAGCCCACCCGGUUUGAUCCACGUGCAUCGAAAACCUGGCUGGG
rnacentral:SRP_RNA from 1 species